GGUGUCAAAACCUCUUGCUGCAGUAAACCAACUUCGAAACUCUUGCUCCUGCGUUUGGUUGAACCGAGUUCGAACGCCAUCCCCACAAUCUCGCCUUAAUCUCUGCCAUCAUUCNAAAGAUCAAAAGAAGGGGUUGAACAGGAUCAACAGUUGAAACACAAGCUUUAGGUGUCAAAACCUCUUGCUGCAGUAAACCAACUUCGAAACUCUUGCUCCUGCGUUGGUUGAACCGAGUUCGAACGCCAUCCCCACAAUCUCGCCUUAAUCUCUGCCAUCAUUCUUGCCUUGUUCCAACUUCCUUGAUUGAAAAUACAAUUGUUUCGAGUCUUCCAAAUGCUCCAAAUCACACACAACCAGACACCAAGGAAGAAAUCCACAUCUUUAUUGCUCCCCAAAUUCACAAAAGCAUUGAAAUGGGCUUUGGUUUGAAAAUGAAGAACAGCUUGCUUACCUGUCCAACUCAAGAUUU
rnacentral:lncRNA from 1 species